rnacentral:rRNA from 1 species
GCGGCGCACGGGUGAGUAACACGUAGGUAACCUACCUCAGAGACUGGGAUAACCUGUCGAAAGACGGGCUAAUACCAGAUACCACCACUUGCGGUAAAGGUGCACUCAGAGAUGGGCCUGCGCGCCAUUAGCUUGUUGGUGGGGUAAUGGCUCACCAAGGCAAAGAUGGCUAGCUGGUCUGAGAGGAUGGCCAGUUACACUGGGACUGAGACACGGCCCAGACUCCUACGGGAGGCAGCAGUGGGGAAUAUUGCGCAAUGGGCGAAAGCCUGACGCAGCGACGCCGCGUGGGUGAUGAAGGCCUUCGGGUCGUAAAGCCCUGUCGGGGGGGACGAAUGACGGUACCCCCGAAGGAAGCACCGGCUAACUCCGUGCCAGCAGCCGCGGUAAUACGGAGGGUGCGAGCGUUGUUCGGAAUCACUGGGCGUAAAGCGCGUGUAGGCGGCCUUCUAAGUCUGGUGUGAAAGCCCGGGGCUUACCCCCGGGAGGGCACUGGAAAC